AGGUGUAUAUGCUUGUGGUGCUUCUGACCUGGAAGAGAUCCCAAUGACACGAUCCUCCUGCACUAAUUCCUGAACAAAACUGGGGCCUUGGGUGAAACAGAAGCGGCAGUUUUGAGACGUUAGUUGCUAUGAUCGGCCUGCAGAAAGAGCAGAGGCCAGCAGUCUUUGGAAUUCAGGUUUUGGGCUGUGCGGAGACUGGGGCACUGCCAUGUCCGGAGCCGUUUGACGGGCCUAAGUAAGGGCAUUUAAUGGACUCAGAAAACUGAGCCACAAAAGAUGACAUCUGCACCCACCUCCCACACCAAACAUCAGCAGAAAGUCUUUUCCUGGCCACUCACCUUUAUUUUAUAAUAUGCCCAAGCUACCAGAAAAUUGCACUUCAAGAGCCAGAAGGAAAGGAGGAGAUGUGGGCCAGAAUUACAGGUAACCAGGGGAUUCUGUGUGCUUCUCCUGAGACAUUCCUCCUAAGAGUUUGCAACGAAGAUGCUGAGUACGCAGACCGUCACUUCAGCCUUCACCACAUAAUGACAUGGCGUGAUCAGGCGUAUCAUUAGGGCAUGCUACAAAAUGUUGUUUCUCCCUGCCUCAUUCUGGUCUCCCCAAACCUGAAUCGGUAAUUCCAGUGGGUCAGUUCUCCCCAGAAUAGAAGUAUCUCCAGAACCUGCUGUGUGUUCCCACCACAUCACUGCGAUUACUGCAGUAAGAUUUUGGAGCGGGACCGUCUUGGGUUCAAGUUCUGGCUCCCAUGUGCGACUUUUGACAAGGGGCUUAAUGUCUUUGAGCCUAGAUUUCAUUAUUUAUAAAGUGAGAAUAUCUACCACAUGGCACAUUUAUAAAGAUAAAAGAUCAUGUAUGUACUUCGCAUUAUAAGUAAUACAAAGUAAAUGCUCAAUAAAAUGAUGAUUAGCCUGUGUUUUAUACCUUAAUAUCUGCUCCAACCUCGAUUAUAUGACAUCCUCCUGAUGGGACUGUCAGGAGGAUCCCUUCCCUCUUCAGGCCAGCAUCUCCCUGCUUUUGCCACAGCCCCUGUGUUAAAAAUCUUCAUCAUCAUCACACAUUUUCCCUGCUGAAAAGUUG